rnacentral:ncRNA from 1 species
UUAAAUUAAAGCGCCUGAGCUAUAAAUGAGCGGUUUUAUAGCUGACGAGGAAGAAGUUUAUCGAGUUUUCGGCGGAUACUUCUCGCCCUAUAGCAUAAAGGGACGUAGACUUUUAACAAAAAUAAAAUUUAAUUUUAUACAAAAUAAA